rnacentral:lncRNA from 1 species
CUCUAUUUAAGAUGAUCUUUAGACAAUAUACAAUUCCGUAUGAAUAUUAUUUCAUUCUGCGUUACGUACAUUUAUUGUUCCAAAAAUUGGGUAUUUUCAUAUUCAGAGUGUCUAAUUGCAAACUUAUGAACUACAUUUCAAAUCCAUUAUUCAAUAUUUACCUACAGGGGCUAAAAGGAUUUACUGGACUUGUGGGACCAGUAGAAAAGACGGGACAGCAUGCAAGUAGCCUGACAGACAUAGCUGUGUUCAGCAGAAGUGAUCCUGUUUGGAAUCAUCAUCGGACUUGUCCAUUUCAGCUGGAGAGGACCUCCAUAGGAGACAACAGUCUUUAGGGAAGUCGGGGUUUGGACUCUAUCCUGGAAGCAUAGAGAGCUGGCUACAAAGGGUACACCCUGAACUGCUUGCAGAGUGGCGAUACAUUCACUCACACAUGCACACACUCUGGGCAGUUUACAAUCACCAGUCCACCUGAAACACAUCUUUUGAGUGUGAGAGGAAACCAGAGGACCUCAAGGAAACCCACACAGAUACAGGGAGGACAUGCAAACUCUGCUUAAACUGAUGUUGGCACAAACAUAUGUCCAACUGUGCAUUUCAAGCACUGUGAGGCCUCUGUACUACCAGCUAAACCAUCAUGAU